CAAGGAAGAAACUCCCGCUUUCCACAGCACUUGCUACAGACUUCCAUUUGGCCCAGAGAAUGAGUUUUUAAUGCUCCUACUGUGAGGGAGAUCGGAGAGCCUGGCAAAAUUCAUACUAAGAGGCCACCCAACCAGAAAGCCUCCUCCUGUCCUGGCUCAUUUUCCAUUAGGGUCACCAGGCAACCAGCAGAAAGCGACAACUCUCCUGACGCAAAACUCUACUUCGCCCAGCAAGAAGCUCUGUAUCCCAUUACUAAGCCUGGGCUGGCUCCAGGGCGGGAUGUGCCAAAGGCGUGUUGCUGGCCAGGAUGGAUGGAGGGUUCCA